rnacentral:rRNA from 1 species
UACGUAGAGUGCAAGCGUUGUCCGGAAUUAUUGGGCGUAAAGGGUACGCAGGCGGAUAAUCAAGUCAAGCGUGAAAGGUGUAGGCUUAACCGACAGACUG